rnacentral:rRNA from 1 species
UACGUAGGGAGCAAGCGUUGUCCGGAAUCAUUGGGCGUAAAGCGCGCGUAGGCGGCCUCGUAAGUCCGUUGUGAAAGUCAAAGGCUCAACCUUUGAAAGCCGAUGGAUACUGUGAGGCUAGAGUCCGGAAGAGGCGAGUGGAAUUCCUGGUGUAGCGGUGGAAUGCGCAGAUAUCAGGAGGAACACCAAUAGCGAAGGCAGCUCGCUGGGACGGUACUGACGCUAAGGCGCGAAGGCGUGGGGAGCGAACGGG